CCCGCCCCCACUCUUGGCCCGCUCCUCUUGUGCUGCCCCACGGACGCCAGCACGGGCGGCCGCCGCCAACCGCUGGCACCCCACCGCCGCCCGCCGAUCCUAAACUCGGGCGUCGCUCCAAUCGCCUGCCGCCGCCGCUCCACUCGGCCUCCACCGCCGAUCCUCCACUCGCCCACAGUUGCCGUUCAACUUGAUCUCCUCCGCCGAUCCUCCACUCCACGGCCGGCCGCUUAUACGGAAUCUGCACUUUCCCAUAAUACCACGAUGGACUCCUCAAGUGGCAAGAAAAUUACUACGCAAUAGCUUGUGAACUUUUCAAGGAUGUUUUGAAUGAUCCACUAAUAUCCGAAAUUCAGAUGAAGAAUCAUCACCCACCUGCAUCCCCGUUAGGAUCAGGGGAAUGUUCCCUGUUUGAAGAUCUGACGAAUAUGCCUACUCAUGUUAAUGCAAAUCAAGGGGGAGUUGGCCUGCGGUUCUGUUGGUCUUCCCCAUCCCAGGCGUUGGGACUUGAGAGGCCGCACAUAUGAGAUCCGAGAGGCACAUGGUUGUUUAUUCAUCGACUACGGUGCCGCUGCAUAGGGCGAACGGUUAUGGCUGACGCCUCCAUCUCUCUAAACGACGCCGACACCAUAUUCUAAAUGACGCUGCCGACGACUCCUCUCAGACCGACCCUGGACGGUACAAUCUGGUUAUGCAAAUCCUCGUGUCUUACUACUGAGGAAUAUCCGUCUAUGAAGGCAAAUCAUGUUUACUUACUGAUGAUAGUGUGUUUUGGACAAUUGGGUUCGAGAAUAAUUGUGGUGAUUUGGAAAUUCUUAACUUGGAUAAUAACACGAGGAACGAACUUGUGUCUCCUCUACUUUCUGUUACGGACCUAAAUCAAGCAGAGGCCAGAAUCACCUUCUAAGGUCUCUCGUUCGCUUCAUAGCAUCGGAAGAAGGAUAUAAAUUCAGGUUACACCCUUGGGUACAUGAAGGAGGAAGUGGGUGAGAUAUAGAUGGAAGCAGGAUUGGGACGAGAGAUAGAGGUACAUCCAGCAAAAGGGCGAGGAGCAAAGAGGUAGGUGAUUCAAAUUCAGGUCACCGUCGUUUCCUUCGAUGCUUCGCCUUGAAGUCUUUCCUCUGGUUAAGUAGCCUACCGAGUCGAAGGAGGCCACAGAAGCUUGUAUCUUCUGGGUUGGACUUUGUCUUCUUCAGGUUGGUCCACUGGCCCAUUUGUUCGCUGUUUUAGGCCCUUCUUCUCUUCGCCAGUUAACAUAACAGCAGGCACUUCUUCUCUUCAUCAGUUAACUUAGUAUUCUUCAAGUGUUGUUUUCUUCGUCAGUUAACUCCUUCAGGUUUGCAUUCUUGUCCAACUGCCCAUCUCCCAUGUGGAUUACACAUGAUCCUAGAAAGCUGAACAUGGCUUUGACUAAAUAGUUUUGUGUUUUCUUUGUUUAUCAAUGUUAUAAUCAUGAAGUUUGGUAAAUGGUGGUCGGUUAAUAUAUCAGUUGGGUUUGGAUAAUACACUUAAUCAUACAUUCUGCAUAAAUGCAAUGCCUAUUUUUUUAAUUCUAAAGUGUAUUAAUAACCUGAGAAUGCUAUGAUGGGGCAUAUCUGAAUAUGGCAAUCCAUGAUAUGUUAUGAUGCACACUUUUACUGAUAUUAGGAAUAGAAAGAAUACUUUGAUGUAGCAUAUCUGCACUGUUCAUGUAUAACUAAAAGUGACUAAACUCUUUUUUUUUGUGAGGAUCUGAAGAAACCCCUUCUUUCUGUUGCAGGUACUGGAGCAAGAUUUAUUAUAUCUGGGUGAGGGCAUCAAUCAAUGUUGGGACAAGGAAUCUCAUCAGUGCAACAAUAUAUAGCUACCACAUUGGACCAGGCGCGUUUAUCUUGAGCAUAGCUAGACGGAAAAACACAUUUCCUGAGCUGGCAUGUGAAGGAAGCAAACAAAAGGACUGCACUCAUACGGAACCAUGAAGCCAACGAUCUAUGUCAACCAGAUGUUUUAGAUUUCAUUUUGUACAAUUGAUGUCUCAUACUUGCAUCUUUUACCUUCUGUGAACGUGGUGCAUGGUGUCAUGGUGGUUAUGUUUAGAACAGACUGAAGUGUAUGUAUGUGACAAAUAGUUAAUGGAAUAAGAAAAUGUUUGGUGCA